rnacentral:rRNA from 1 species
CAUGCAGUCGAACGUGAAGCCACCUUCGGGUGGUGGAAAGUGGCAGACGGGUGAGUAACGCGUGGGAACGUGCCCUUCGGUUCGGGAUAACCCAGGGAAACUUGGGCUAACACCGGAUACGCCCUUCGGGGGAAAAAUUUAUUGCCGAAGGAUCGGCCCGCGUCGGAUUAGCUUGUUGGUGGGGUAAAAGCCUACCAAGGCGACGAUCCGUAGCUGGUCUGAGAGGAUGAUCAGCCACACUGGGACUGAGACACGGCCCAGACUCCUACGGGAGGCAGCAGUGGGGAAUAUUGGACAAUGGGCGCAAGCCUGAUCCAGCCAUGCCGCGUGGGUGAAGAAGGCCUUAGGGUUGUAAAUCCCUUUCAGCGGGGAAGAUAAUGACGGUACCCGCAGAAGAAGCCCCGGCUAACUCCGUGCCAGCAGCCGCGGUAAUACGGAGGGGGCUAGCGUUGUUCGGAAUUACUGGGCGUAAAGCGCGCGUAGGCGGACCUGCAAGUCGGGGGUGAAAGCCCGAGGCUCAACCUCGGAACUGCCUUCGAUACUGCGGGUCUUGAGUCCGGGAGAGGUGAGUGGAAUUCCUAGUGUAGAGGUGAAAUUCGUAGAUAUUAGGAAGAACACCAG